UGAUAAUGAUUCCAAAACGAUAUCUUUAAAAAUUAUGUAUGGAUAAAAGUUGAUAUAUUCCCCAUCACUAAAAUAGCUAGUAGAGUAGAAGCUUCUGUCACUUGGGCAAAGUAUUUUAUUCAAUGGUUAGGUUGCCUAUUACUUGUACAUGUAGGAAAGUUACCUCUGAGUUUUUUAUCUCAUCCUACAAGUAACCAUACUGAAAAGGACUUACGUUCAUCCUCCAAUAAUUAUAAUAAUGAUAACUAUUAGCAAAUUUUUUAAUGCUCUAAUUCCGCUAAUUAUUUAGUGUUGUACUUUUUGCUUUGCAGAAAGAACGAAAAUGGCUUGUUUUUUUAAAAAUGACUGUAAUUUGAAAAGUUAUAGUUAAAAAUCAGCUCAAACAUUACUUACACUUGUACAUGUAAAUGGAAGUAUAGUGUUUGGCAUUCACUUAGCAUAGUUGUGGGAAACCCUGUUGACAAUUUGUUAUUGCUUCUAUGACAGCUGAACUGCCAUUUUUGAAAGCAAGCCAUAUUUCUGUUUCAUGCACAAACAUAUCAAAAUGGCAUACUGGUAAUUGUAAUUCUAAUUGAGUCUAUUUUUACAAAAGGAGUGUAAUUUUGAUUGAGGUUUCUUAAUUGACCCCAGUUCUAACCGUAACCAGGAGCCCAUGCCGUAACCCAUGGUACAUGUACACGUUCAUGUAUGCAUGUAUAGUGUACUCAUAAAUUAAAAAUAUUUCGUUUAAAUUGGCUUUUACUUUUGAUGGACAUUAAUUUUAUCAGAAAUUGUCAUGAAAUGCUGUAGCAAUGUAAAAUGCUUUUUACCUUUACUGAUUUUUCGCUAAAAUUUUAUUAAGCAGAACAGUUGGUUUAUAACCUGCCACACCUAUUUUUAUAACAAGCCAAAUGAAGCAAACUAAUUUUUAUAGCAGGAAAGUGGCUGACUGGCUGCUACUGCAGAUACAUGUAUGGCGUCAAUAGCAUUUUAUGUGCAUAAUCUGAAUGUGCAUCUUCAUAAAAAUAUUUUGUUCUCUCAUCUUCUUUAGUUUCAUUUCCAGAUUUGCCACGUCAAGAUUCAAGAAGCUUAUAUAAUUGUUUGUGUACUCCUAAACAAAAAUAUUGGCAUUUUAAAAGAAUUACAUGUAGUGAUGCAAAUUAAGUCAGAUCUUUACAUUUGUAUGUGAUGGUAUCGCACAAACUACUGUUUUCAAAGAUCAGAGAGAGUCUCCUCAGUCAAACCUGCACAAGAUUUAAUGAUAUUACUGGAAUACAGCAGAGUUUUACUAGAUCAUGACAGGUGGGUGGAUUAUGAGUGAAAUCACUUUCUUGUGCGGGUGGGUAUGGUUGUGGGUGGAGUCAAACAUGACGUACAUUGAAUAGGUUGAUAUGGGAGAAGUACCAGUUACAUUAUAAAAAAUGUUGUAUCAAGACUUUAGCCAUUGUCAUUACAUAUUUAUAGCAUAAAUGGAAUGAAGUACAUUAUACUAGCUGGUCCCUUCCCAACCAUUCAUGAACUUCUUCCAACAAACUAAUUGAAUCGGCGAUGAAGUUGUCCAGAGUUAAUUAAAUGACUGAUGGGGCAAGCUAUUGAAAUCUUUAUGCACAUCAUAGUUAGAGAUUGGCUAUAACGUGUAACGAUUGAAGAAGCUAAGACAUACGUGUAGGAACUAUUACUCUUGGCUAUAUUCCAGUGCUUGACUGCUCAUUGGGUCUUUUGAUAUUAAAGAGUGUUGUUACUUUCCUGAGUAAAAAGAGAAAGAGAACAGGAGUCCUUAUGUAGGAGCUGAAAACUAAAAGUAUAAUAGUUUGGCUGAUUUAAAACAAACCAGAUAUACAUGUACUGUAUUGGUGAAGGCUAUUCAUUGGUUGAUUAUGGCUUGAUGUCACAGUUAGUUAAAGAUCAACUGAGACACUUGUGCAAAAUGAAUGCAAGACCAAAUCUACUUCCACCCACGACCUCCCCAGGAAGUGGCUAAAAAUAAACAUGCUCAAAGCCAAAUGGAUUACAUCAUUCCCUGAAUCACAACUUGAUGCUCAAGAUAAAGUUUAUUAAGGAUGUAGUAUUCACUUUAUGUUUGAACCAGUCUGGAGUCUCUCUAAUACGUAUCCUCCUAGCUCCAUGUUACGUAAUAAUAAUAUUAGUAAACUAGUAGUAGCUAAAGCAUGAAUCAUUGUUUUACAAUUUACUAAAUAUUAACUCCUUUGACUCAAAUCUCCAAUGAAUAGGGAUUCUAGCUGGUGCUGUCGCUAAACUAGAAGAAGGGAAAUUAAGUGCAUUGUAUAGGCCACUGGUUAGUCUGUCUCAAGUUAGUCAUGAAAUUUUGAAGUUAGGAGCUGAGCAUGGACAGAUUAUUAUGACAACUGACACAUCUCACGCAACAUAAAAUACACUAUUAAUCUAUACUGUCAUAUUGUGCUGUUUUAUUGUAAUUAAUUUAUUAUAAAUUUCAAUAAAAUA
rnacentral:lncRNA from 1 species